CCAAUAGCGUAUAUUAAAGUUGUUGCAGUUAAAAAGCUCGUAGUUGAAUUUCGGGAUUGACACAUCGGUCGUGCCCUAAGGGGUAUGAACUGGUGUAGUCAAUUUCUCACCUUCUGGAGAACCGUGCUGUCCUUAAUUGGGUGACGCGGGGAACCAGGACCUUUACUUUGAAAAAAUUAGAGUGUUUAAAGCAGGCAUUUUGCUUGAAUACAUUAGCAUG
rnacentral:rRNA from 1 species